ensembl:lncRNA
UCUCUGUCUGUCUCUCUCUGUCUGUUGCUGUUUGUAUGUUGCUGUUUGUCUGUCUGUUGCCGUCUGUCGCUGUUUGUCGGUCUUUCUGUGUCUGUCUUUCUGUCUCUCUUUGUCUGUCUGUCUGUCUGUCUGUCUGUCUGUCUGUCUGUCUGUCUGUCUGUAUGUGUCUCUGUCUGUAUGUGUCUCUGUCUGGCUCUGUCUGCAUGUGUCUCUGUCUGUUUCUGUCUGCAUGUGUCUAUGUCUGCAUGUGUCUCUGUCUGUCUCUGUCUGCAUGUGUCUCUGUCUGUCUCUGUCUGCAUGUGUCUCUGUCUGCAUCUGUCUGUCUCUGUGUGUCUGUCUGUCUGUCUGUGUAUGUCUCUUUCUUUCUCUGUCUAUCUCUGUGUCUGUCUCUCUGUGUCUCUCUCUCUCUGUAUGUCUGUUUGUCUGUCUGUGUCUGUAUCUCUGUGUCUGUCUGUCUGUCUGUCUGUCUGUCUGUCUGUCUGUCUGUCUGUCUGUCUGUCUGUCUGUCUGUCUGUCUGUGUAUGUCUAUCUCUGUGUCUGUCUGUCUCUCUCUGUCUGUGUGUCUGUCUCUGUCUGUAUGUCUCUCUGUGUCUGUCUCUUUCUUUGUCUGUCUCUUUCUUUGUCUGUCUCUGUGUCUGUCUCUGUGUCUGUCUCUGUGUCUGUCUGUUUGUGUCUGUCUCUUUGUCUGUCUGUCUCUGUGUCUGUCUGUCUGUCUGUCUCUCUGUGUAUGUAUGUUUGUCUGUAUGUGUGUCUGUCUGUGUCCUUCUCUCGGUCUCUGUCUGUCUCUCUCUGUCUGUUGCUGUUUGUAUGUUGCUGUUUGUCUGUCUGUUGCCGUCUGUCGCUGUUUGUCGGUCUUUCUGUGUCUGUCUUUCUGUCUCUCUUUGUCUGUCUGUCUGUCUGUCUGUCUGUCUGUAUGUGUCUCUGUCUGUAUGUGUCUCUGUCUGUCUCUGUCUGCAUGUGUCUCUGUCUGUUUCUGUCUGCAUGUGUCUAUGUCUGCAUGUGUCUCUGUCUGUCUCUGUCUGCAUGUGUCUCUGUCUGUCUCUGUCUGCAUGUGUCUCUGUCUGCAUCUGUCUGUCUCUGUGUGUCUGUCUGUCUGUCUGUGUAUGUCUCUUUCUUUCUCUGUCUAUCUCUGUGUCUGUCUCUCUGUGUCUCUCUCUCUCUGUAUGUCUGUUUGUCUGUCUGUGUCUGUAUCUCUGUCUGUCUGUCUGUCUGUCUGUCUGUCUGUCUGUCUGUCUGUCUGUCUGUCUGUCUGUGUAUGUCUAUCUCUGUGUCUGUCUGUCGCUCUCUGUCUGUGUGUCUGUCUCUGUCUGUAUGUCUCUCUGUGUCUGUCUCUUUCUUUGUCUGUCUCUGUGUCUGUCUCUGUGUCUGUCUCUGUGUCUGUCUCUGUGUCUGUCUCUGUGUCUGUCUGUCUCUCUCUCUGUGUAUGUCUGUUUGUGUCUGUCUCUUUGUCUCUGUGUCUGUCUGUCUGUCUGUCUCUCUGUGUAUGUCUCUUUCUUUCUUUCUCUGUCUGUGUCUGUCUGUCUGUCUGUCUGUCUGUCUGUCUGUCUGUCUGUCUCUUUCUUUCUGUGUCUGUCUCUGUCUCUGUCUCU